rnacentral:misc_RNA from 1 species
ACAAACUUGGUCAUUUAGAGGAAGUAAAAGUCGUAACAAGGUUACCGUAGAUGAAUCUGCGGUAGGAUCAUCAAAGAAAGCGCAGGUUUGGCGGUAGGGUGAAAAGCCCGAAGCCGAGCCUGCAUAUACACCAUACAUGUGAACCAGUAGCGCAGUGAGGCUAGUUUGGGGGUGCGGCUAUAGCGGGCGCGCUAUGCGCGUGUGUGUCUAGCUUGGCGGCCCGACCCAGGGCAGCCAGCCCCCAGACUGCAAUUGCAAACAAUGUAAACCUGUGGCCUAGUUUGAGUGUUGAUUGAAAAGAGCUGAAGCGCAGCGCACGCGCCGGUCUAGUGCCGCGUUGCGUGUGUGUGUGUCUGACGCGAUAAUAAUCUCAUCACAACUUUUAACAAUGGAUCUCUUGGCUCUCGCAUCGAUGAAGAACGCAGC